rnacentral:rRNA from 1 species
AAUCAACGCUGGCGGCGUGCCUCAGACAUGCAAGUCGAAACGCGAAAGUCCCCUUCGGGGGGCGAGUAGAGUGGCGCACGGGUGAGUAACACGUAGGUAAUCUACCCCCGAGUGGGGAAUAACUCAGGGAAACUUGAGCUAAUACCGCAUAAUGCAGCGGCACCACAUGGUGACAGUUGUUAAAGCAUUUAUGUGCUUGAAGAGGAGCUUGCGGCCAGAUAGCUAGUUGGUAAGGUAAUGGCUUACCAAGGCGACGAUCUGUAGCGACCUGAGAGGGUGGUCGGUCACACUGACACUGAAUAACGGGUCAGACUCC